UACACAUGUAGGGAGAGCAUACCGGUGUA
rnacentral:piRNA from 1 species